CCUACGGGUGGCAGCAGUGAGGAAUAUUGGUCAAUGGACGAGAGCCUGAACCAGCCAAGUAGCGUGAAGGAUGACUGCCCUAUGGGUUGUAAACUUCUUUUAUAUGGGAAUAAAAUGUUCCACGUGUGGCCUUUUGUAUGUACCUUAUGAAUAAGGAUCGGCUAACUCCGUGCCAGCAGCCGCGGUAAUACGGAGGAUCCGAGCGUUAUCCGGAUUUAUUGGGUUUAAAGGGAGCGUAGGUGGGUUGUUAAGUCAGUUGUGAAAGUUUGGGGCUCAACCGUAAAAUUGCAGUUGAUACUGGCAGGCUUGAGUACAGUAGAGGUGGGCGGAAUUCGUGGUGUAGCGGUGAAAUGCUUAGAGAUCACGAAGAACUCCGAUUGCGAAGGCAGCCCACUGGACUGCGACUGACACUGAGGCGCGAAAGUGUGGGUAUCAAACAGGAUUAGAUACCCGAGUAGUC
rnacentral:rRNA from 1 species